GACGAACCGUGCGAACGUUAUUCGGAUUCACUGGGCUUAAAGGGCGCGUAGGCGGACUAGCAAGUCCGGGGUGAAAUCUUUCGGCUCAACCGGAAAAGUGCCUUGGAUACUGCUCGCCUUGAGUGAGGUAGGGGCAUGUGGAACUUCCGGUGGAGCGGUGAAAUGCGUUGAUAUCGGAAGGAACGCCGGUGGCGAAAGCGACGUGCUGGACCUCAACUGACGCUGAGGCGCGAAAGCCAGGGGAGCAAACGGG
rnacentral:rRNA from 1 species